UACGGAGGAUUCAAGCGUUAUCCGGAUUUACUGGGUGUAAAGGGAGCGCAGGCGGCACGGCAAGCCUGAUGUGAAAGCCCGCGGCCCAACCGCGGGACUGCAUUGGGAACUACCGGGCUGGAGUGCCGGAGAGGUAGGCGGAAUUCCUAGUGUAGCGGUGAAAUGCGUGGAUAUUAGGAGGAACACCAGUGGCGAAGGCGGCCUACUGGACGGUGACUGACGCUGAGGCUCGAAAGCGUGGGGAGCAAACAGG
rnacentral:rRNA from 1 species